AAUGUUAUGUCUGAUAAUAAGAAAUAAAUUGUAAAUUUAUUUAUGAAAAUAAAAUUUCUAACAUUA
rnacentral:tRNA from 1 species